rnacentral:rRNA from 1 species
UACGUAGGUGGCGAGCGUUGUCCGGAUUUACUGGGCGUAAAGGGAGCGUAGGCGGACUUUUAAGUGAGAUGUGAAAUACUCGGGCUCAACUUGAGUGCUGCAUUUCAAACUGGAAGUCUAGAGUGCAGGAGAGGAGAAUGGAAUUCCUAGUGUAGCGGUGAAAUGCGUAGAUAUUAGGAGGAACACCGGUGGCGAAGGCGGCUUACUGGGCUUAAACUGACGCUGAGGCACGAAAGCGUGGGUAGCAAACAGG